GGCCGGCCCUGGGGAGUCAGCAGGCUGCUCAUCUGUCUGUGGAAGCUGUGGUGACACCAAGUGUGGGGUGAGGGAGGCACGGCAGGCAGCAGGACACCAGCGCUCGGCAGAACGGGAGGUGUCCAGCAACGGGGAGAAGGCGGCGGCUGGCGCAGGCGGGGGCCAGGGCCAGGAUGAAGCAGAACACCGCAGAGGCAGAGGCACACAGGAGGUCCCUGAGGGCUGCUAUCCUGAAGUGGGGGGCAGCUGGCCAUUCACUCUCUUAACCGCCACAGCCCCAUCCUGCCAAGAUGCUGGGCCAUCAAAGCUGACCAAGAUCCGGUCCCUGCCUUCAAGGAGCUCACAGCUGAGAGAGGAAAAGAGAAGGCUAUGAACACCUAGUAAUGACAAGAUCAGGGAUGACAGAGAUGAAAGCAGGCACUGCGGAGACACAGAAGAUGUCUUCGGGGUCACCUGGCUACGAGAACAGGAACUCAGCACGACUACACUGGAAAGGGGGUGAGCUCACUAGCAGGACACCCAGAUGCCU
rnacentral:lncRNA from 1 species